AAUCAACGCUGGCGGCGUGCCUCAGACAUGCAAGUCGAACGAUUAAAGCUCUCUUCGGAGAGUGCAUAGAGUGGCGCACGGGUGAGUAACACGUAAGUAAUCUACCUUCGAGUGGGGAAUAACGUCCGGAAACGGACGCUAAUACCGCAUAAUGCAGCGGCAUCGUAAGAUGACAGUUGUUAAAGAUUUAUCGCUUGAAGAGGAGCUUGCGGCAGAUUAGCUAGUUGGUAAGGUAACGGCUUACCAAGGCUACGAUCUGUAACCGGUCUUAGAGGACGGUCGGUCACACUGACACUGAAUAACGGGUCAGACUCCUACGGGAGGCAGCAGUCGGGAAUUUUGGGGCAAUGGGCGAAAGCCUGACCCAGCAACGCCGCGUGAAGGAUGAAGUAUUUCGGUAUGUAAACUUCGAAAGAAUAGGAAGAAUAAAUGACGGUACUAUUUAUAAGGUCCGGCUAACUACGUGCCAGCAGCCGCGGUAAU
rnacentral:rRNA from 1 species